rnacentral:rRNA from 1 species
UAACGUAGCGAAAGCUACGCUAAUACCGCAUACUAUCUAUGGAUGAAAGCGGGGGAUCGCAAGACCCUCGCNCGAUUGGAGCGCCGAUAUCAGAUUAGGUAGUUGGUGAGGUAAAGGCUCACCAAGCCGACGAUCUGUAGCUGGUCUGAGAGGACGACCAGCCACACUGGGACUGAGACACGGCCCAGACUCCUACGGGAGGCAGCAGUGGGGAAUUUUGGACAAUGGGCGCAAGCCUGAUCCAGCAAUGCCGCGUGCAGGAUGAAGGCCUUCGGGUUGUAAACUGCUUUUGUACGGAACGAAACGGUGAGCUCUAAUACAGUUUGCUAAUGACGGUACCGUAAGAAUAAGCACCGGCUAACUACGUG